rnacentral:rRNA from 1 species
GAUGAACGCUGGCGGCGUGCCUAAUACAUGCAAGUCGAACGAACGCACGAGAAGCUUUCUUCUCUGAUGUUAGCGGCGGAAGGAAGAGUAACACGUGUACAACCUACCUAUAGGACAGGGAUAACUUCGUGAAAUCGUAGCUAAUACCGGAUGAUAUUUUGAACCGCAUGGUUCCAAAGUUAAAGACGCUCUUGCUGUCACUUAUAGAUGGGUCCGCGCUGCAUUAGCUAGUUGGCAAGGUAACGGCUUACCAAGGCAACGAUGCAUAGCCGACCUGAGAGGGUGAUCGGCCACACUGGAACUGAGACACGGCCCAGACUCCUACGGGAGGCAGCAGUAGGGAAUCUUCCGCAAUGGGCGAAAGCCUGACGGAGCAACGCCGCGUGAAGGAUGAAGGUCUUCGGAUCGUAAACCGCUGUUGUUAGGAAAGAACAUAUGUGUAAGUAACUGUGCAGAUCAUGACGGUACCUAAACAGUAAGCCCCGGCUAACUACGUG